rnacentral:rRNA from 2 species
CUCGGAUCAGGUAGGGAUACCCGCUGAACUUAAGCAUAUCAAUAAGCGGA